rnacentral:rRNA from 1 species
GACGAACGCUGGCGGCGUGCCUAAUACAUGCAAGUAGAACGCUGAAGGAGGAGCUUGCUUCUCCGGAUGAGUUGCGAACGGGUGAGUAACGCGUAGGUAACCUGCCUGGUAGCGGGGGAUAACUAUUGGAAACGAUAGCUAAUACCGCAUAAGAGUAGAUGUUGCAUGACAUUUGCUUAAAAGGUGCAAUUGCAUCACUACCAGAUGGACCUGCGUUGUAUUAGCUAGUUGGUGAGGUAACGGCUCACCAAGGCGACGAUACAUAGCCGACCUGAGAGGGUGAUCGGCCACACUGGGACUGAGACACGGCCCAGACUCCUACGGGAGGCAGCAGGAGGGAAUCUUCGGCAAUGGACGGAAGUCUGACCGAGCAACGCCGCGUGAGUGAAGAAGGUUUUCGGAUCGUAAAGCUCUGUUGUAAGAGAAGAACGAGUGUGGGAGUGGAAAGUUCACACUGUGACGGUAUCUUACCAGAAAGGGACGGCUAACUACGUG